rnacentral:rRNA from 1 species
UGGAUUAGCGGCGAACGGGUGAGGAACACGUGAAGAAUCUGCCCUCCACUUUGGGAUAACACCGGGAAACCGGUGCUAAUACCGAAUAUUGAAACAUAAGUGGCAUCACUGAGUUUUGAAAGAAUUUCGGUGGAGGAUGACUUCGCGGCCUAUCAGCUAGUUGGUGAGGUAAUGGCUCACCAAGGCAACGACGGGUAGCCGGCCUGAGAGGGCGACCGGCCACACUGGGACUGAGACACGGCCCAGACUCCUACGGGAGGCAGCAGUGGGGAAUAUUGGGCAAUGGAGGAAACUCUGACCCAGCGACGCCGCGUGCGGGAUGAAGGCCUUCGGGUUGUAAACCGCUUUCAGUAGGGAAGAAGCGAAAGUGACGGUACCUACAAAAGAAGCACCGGCUAACUAUGUGCCAGCAGCCGCGGUAAUACAUAGGGUGCAAGCGUUGUCCG